UAAUUGUUCUCUUUUUUAUCUGUUGUAGUUUCCAUGGAAAUAAAUAGCAGGUUUUAAAUUUUGGAGCGACGUACGUAUAUGCAGCCCAAGACAAUUUCUAUUCACCAAAUGUAACCCAGGCAAGCCAAAAAGAUGGACACCCAUGACAUAACUGCAGUUGUUUGGAUAACUGGACAAAAGCACUGUUUUUGCAGUCACAAAGCACUGCUUCCAACUUGAAAUGACUUAUCAGCAUGCCUUGCCACUCCUGCAGCUUUGUGUAUUAAGUCUUCCAUUAUCCUGGAAUGCAGAUGGCCUGACUUGAGGUUUGAAUGCAGACCCCACUCCUCGAGGCUGUUUCCCCACACACCCACAGCUCAAGCGAUUACUGAUGUGAAGCUUCAAAGAGAAGAAGCCCACAUUCACAGUCCACAUGCAGACUUGCAGACUAGCAAAGGAUCUGGUGGCACAAUGACAUUCAGCAUAUUCAAGCAAAGGCAGAGUGCAGGGAAUCUGUGGGAGCCCUUCCCUCCUGCACCUCUGGCAAAGAUCCCUCAGAGUAAUGGACAGGAACCAGGGCACGCUUGCUGCUGUGGGUAUGGAAGAGCUUCCACCAUUAUAAUAAAAAGUAAUAAUGCAGUAGCAGUGUCAUAUUGUCCUUUGGGAGACGGUCACCUUCCUUAGAAAUGUGUUGCUAUACAUUUGUACUGACGAGGAUUUUUACAUAUUUUUAUUUUAAAA
rnacentral:lncRNA from 1 species